rnacentral:rRNA from 1 species
CCUACGGGGGGCAGCAGUCGGGAAUAUUGCGCAAUGGAGGAAACUCUGACGCAGUGACGCCGCGUAUAGGAAGAAGGUUUUCGGAUUGUAAACUAUUGUCGUUAGGGAAGAUAAAAGACUGUACCUAAGGAGGAAGCUCCGGCUAACUACGUGCCAGCAGCCGCGGUAAUACGUAGGGAGCGAGCGUUGUCCGGAAUUACUGGGUGUAAAGGGAGCGUAGGCGGGACUGCAAGUUGGGUGUCAAAUCUACCGGCUCAACCGGUAGCCGCACUCAAAACUGCAGUUCUUGAGUGAAGUAGAGGCAGGCGGGAUUCCUAGUGUAGCGGUGAAAGGCGUAGAUAUUAGGAGGAACACCAGUGGCGAAGGCGGCCUGCUGGGCUUUUACUGACGCUGAGGCUCGAAAGUGUGGGGAGCAAACAGGAUUAGAUACCCUUGUAGUC